AGCAGUGUUUCGAGCAAAGAACUCACCGUAAAGACAAGAAUUAUGGUUGGGAGUUAAUACUUCUUUAAAAGUAUUGUUAGGAAACGAGUCAAGACAAUCAAGAGUACAUUCAUUAGUAAUGAAAUACCUGUAAAACACAAGAACAAGAGAUAGAAUCUAUUUUUUUGUAUUUCUUUUUUCCAAAUCUGUUCACUCCACACGCCAGAUCGGUAGGUGGCGGUAAUCACUUGUUUGUUGGUGUGCCAAACCGCCAUAAAACACCAGAAGAAGAACUCACCGUAAUUCCAGAGUAGCAGUCAGAUCGCGGAUUCAUAUGCAGUUAUUCAUAUGUAGCGUUCAUGUGGAAGUGAAAGUCCGUGACAAAAUACUACCUCAAGUACACCACUAUGUAAAAAUGGUCACUCUUGUGCAAUACAUGACCAAAUCUGAUGACUCCCAACUCCCCGACCAAAGUACUGCAGCAGUCAAUAACAUAUCCACAAGAGUUAAAUGGGGCACUUUCUAUAUGAACCCAAGGACACUGAGACUGACAGACCCAGUUCCUGCUGCCAUGAAGCUCAUCACACCAUGAUCUACUGGCCUCCCAUCAUCGUGAUGCCCUGCCAAUGUCUGACCAGCGACCACCCGCUGCUUCCCUUUAUUUCUAAAUUUUUUAAUUCUUAAUAAAUCGUAUAGUAUAGUUUUUUAUUGGAUCGCGUAAUUCUGCUUAGUGACAACCAACCACUUACUUUAACUUUUAAUUUAAAUGAUUUAAACCUUUAACAAUAAUUCCCAUACAUUUUAAGAAUAUAGAAGGCCUAUUCAAUAUAUAGUAUAUAUUUUCUAGGAUCAGCUAGGCCUGGGUCUCUCUCAAGGGUUUUCUUUCUCCCAAUGACUUUUUCCCCUAUAAGGGUUUUUUUCCUAGGAGUUUUUUAAACCCCUUGGGGUCGGCUGACAUUAGCUUAACUUAAAGAGUUACAUUACAUUAUUACUCCGCUCACUAGUACGGUUUAAUCUGAGCCGCUGUACUUUGUUGUCCUAUAAUUUUUCUCUUGUUUUUAUUAAACAAGUAACCCAACUGGAGCUGCACGUAGAGCGUUGGCACAAAGACUGCACCGAAGAACCUACCGUGUUGCAGGUCCCAACUCAUUGUGGCACAGUGAUGGAAACUACUUAAUCUUAACAUGUUUACAAAUUUGAAUGUUUUCUUAAGUCCCUGUAAAGUCAAUUUUAAAAAAUUGUUUCUGAACACAUUAUAAAUGUUUAAAAAAUGUAUUGCAGAAAUACACAACAAAGACUGUAAACUACGUAGUUCUGAAUUGCAGAGUAAAGAUUGUGUAUUUCUGAGUUCAGGAUAUUUUAGAUGGUCCUAAAGUGGUUGCUCGAUAAUGCACUUGAGCCACCCAGCGUGGCCCCGCCCCUAACACAAUUGUGACCAUCCAUUCAGGUUGAAGUGGUAUUUGAAAGUUGAGAAACAGUAAGUGAGUGUUGUUUCAGCUUUGACGGCGUACAUACCACCACCGUUUGAGAGCACAAAAUACUGCCUACAUUUCCAAGAUUUUGAUAACUUAGUUUAAUUACUUGGUGUUUUGCAUGCAAAUUUGGUUGGUUGGUUAAUAACACAUUUUUACAAAUACAUACUUUCAGAUAUCUCAGUGCAAGUUAUUUUCAGUUAAGACAGCUGAAACAUUCAUUUUAGUUUUGCCUUAAGCCUUAUCUGUGAAACUGGGCAUUGGGGUUCUACAUGCUAAUGUUUGAUUGUUUGGUUUUUAAAUCUUAUGUCACAGCCUUCUUGAUGUUCUAAAUGUGAAUAUGUAUGCUUAUGUGUGCUGCAGUGCAUCAUUUUAAAUCGGCAGUUACAAACUAACUAAACUAAGUUCAGA